GCCCCUUGCUGCUUUGUCUUCUCCAUGGCGAGCUCAAGCUCGUCCAUGGACUGCCCGCCGCCUCUGUCUUCUUCGAACCAGCGACGACCCCUUUCGUCGAACACCUUCAUUGUUUCUUCUUCUUCGUCCAGCAUCCAUGGAUGCCUCCUUCACCUACCCAGCUGCCUCGUCGACCUCCAGAAAACCCAAACGUUCACGUCCCAAACGACCUCCAGCUUGGCGACGCAACAAGAACAACUACUACGUCCACCAUCGCUGCUGCUUCUUCCUCUCCAGUCGCAGCUUCAGGCAGCUCACCAUGGCUGCUGCUGCUCGACGACCAUAAUAUCAGCUCACGUCCAAACACAUAGCUGAUGUUGCUUCCAUGACCACACGCACACACACGGAGGAAAAGCAAGGCAGUCCGGUUAAAGUCCGGCGAAGUUCUGUCAAGGUUUCGUUUGGUUUUGUUUGAGUCCGUUGUUGUUCGUCGUUGGGUGAGGUCCAGUUGAAGUUCGUCAAGGUUAAAAGAGAAGGUACACAACUGACACACCGGUUAAUGUAAACUGAAACGUGAAGCAUGAAUAUGAAAUGAAGAGUUGAAGUUCUGAAUUUAUCUUAAUUAUAUUCUGAAUUUUAUUUGUAUAUAUACAUUAUUUAGCUUACCCUAAUUAGAAUCAUAUAGUUGUUCAAUAUAUAUAAUGGAACAUCUGACGGUAGCUUAGCGGACAACUGUCUAUGUAUUGCCCUAAAAUAAAUAAAUGGUGUAGUAAUUCUGUCUAGUUAAUUCGUUAUUGUUGGAUGA